GACGAACGCUGGCGGCGUGCUUAACACAUGCAAGUCGAACGGAAAGGCCCUGCUUUUGUGGGGUGCUCGAGUGGCGAACGGGUGAGUAACACGUGAGUAACCUGCCCUUGACUUUGGGAUAACUUCAGGAAACUGGGGCUAAUACCGGAUAGGAGCUCCUGCUGCAUGGUGGGGGGUGGAAAGUUUCGGCGGUUGGGGAUGGACUCGCGGCUUAUCAGCUUGUGGGUGGGGUAGUGGCUUACCAAGGCUUUGACGGGUAGCCGGCCUGAGAGGGUGACCGGCCACAUUGGGACUGAGAUACGGCCCAGACUCCUACGGGAGGCAGCAGUGGGGAAUAUUGCACAAUGGGCGGAAGCCUGAUGCAGCAACGCCGCGUGCGGGAUGACGGCCUUCGGGUUGUAAACCGCUUUCGCCUGUGACGAAGCGUGAGUGACGGUAAUGGGUAAAGAAGCACCGGCUAACUACGUG
rnacentral:rRNA from 1 species